AAAUUGAAGAGUUUGAUCAUGGCUCAGAUUGAACGCUGGCGGCAGGCCUAACACAUGCAAGUCGAACGGUAACAGGAAGCAGCUUGCUGCUUUGCUGACGAGUGGCGGACGGGUGAGUAAUGUCUGGGAAACUGCCUGAUGGAGGGGGAUAACUACUGGAAACGGUGGCUAAUACCGCAUAAUGUCGCAAGACCAAAGAGGGGGACCUUCGGGCCUCUUGCCAUCAGAUGUGCCCAGAUGGGAUUAGCUUGUUGGUGAGGUAACGGCUCACCAAGGCGACGAUCCCUAGCUGGUCUGAGAGGAUGACCAGCCACACUGGAACUGAGACACGGUCCAGACUCCUACGGGAGGCAGCAGUGGGGAAUAUUGCACAAUGGGCGCAAGCCUGAUGCAGCCAUGCCGCGUGUAUGAAGAAGGCCUUCGGGUUGUAAAGUACUUUCAGCGGGGAGGAAGGUGUUGUGGUUAAUAACCGCAGCAAUUGACGUUACCCGCAGAAGAAGCACCGGCUAACUCCGUGCCAGCAGCCGCGGUAAUACGGAGGGUGCAAGCGUUAAUCGGAAUUACUGGGCGUAAAGCGCACGCAGGCGGUCUGUCAAGUCGGAUGUGAAAUCCCCGGGCUCAACCUGGGAACUGCAUUCGAAACUGGCAGGCUU
rnacentral:rRNA from 1 species